rfam:Punica granatum cultivar Dabenzi scaffold532, whole genome shotgun sequence.
AUGGCCUUACUUGAACAUGAUCUAUUCUAUAGGUUUGUGCCUCUGUGUCCUUGAGUUCUAAGGAUACAGGAACCAACGUCCGGUGGAUGAAGCAUGGCCGUGCGACCAAAGCGUGAGUAGAGGCUUCGUCAGCCUCCCGGGGUCUCCGGUUGCAGCGAAGGAUCGUUCUUAGCUCCCAUAAUUGGGGUUCUGGGGUGGUUGCACGACGUUCUGACAAAAA